rnacentral:lncRNA from 1 species
GGAGGUGGUGGUGGCUGAGAGUAGUACCCAGGGUAGUAACUGGAGUACGGAUCAGAGUAGCCGCCGUAAGGAUACAAAUGCGCCGGAGGAGGCGGUGGAGAUGGAGAAGCAGGUGGCGGUGGUGCCACUACAGGCAGCGGAGGAGGAGGAGGGUGUGAGGAGUACGGAGAAGGAGAAUAUGAUCUAUAGGAAGGCGGCGGCGGAGGGGCAGUAGAGUAAUAAUAGCUAGAUGGAGGGGGUAUCUGGUAAUCCUGGGGAGUUGGAGAUUCACGAAUAGCAAUCUUCAGUCGGAUCUUACCGUGAGGACGACCCGAGGGUCGUCGGAGCUCAAAAGGUCUGAUUUUGUUCGGAUCAUCCAAGUUAACAAGGUCCUUCAACGGAAUCCUAAGUGUACCGACUAAAGGU